rnacentral:rRNA from 1 species
UUGGAGGGCAAGUCUGGUGCCAGCAGCCGCGGUAAUUCCAGCUCCAAUAGCGUAUAUUAAAGUUGUUGCAGUUAAAAAGCUCGUAGUUGAAUUUCGGGGUUAGUAGGUUGGUCAUGCCUCUGGUAUGUACUGGUCUCACUGAUUCCUCCUUCCUGGUGAACCUUAAUGCCAUUAAUUUGGUGUUUUGGGGAAUUUGGACUGUUACUUUGAAAAAAUUAGAGUGUUUAAAGCAAGCUAACGCUUGAAUACAUUAGCAUGGAAUAAUGAAAUAGGACGUUCGAUCCUAUUUUGUUGGUUUCUAGGAUUGACGUAAUGAUUAAUAGGGAUAGUUGGGGGCAUUAGUAUUCAAUUGUCAGAGGUGAAAUUCUUGGAUUUAUUGAAGACUAACUACUGCGAAAGCAUUUGCCAAGGAUGUUUUCAUUAAUCAAGAACGAAAGUUAGGGGAUCGAAGACGAUCAGAUACCGUCGUAGUCUUAACCAUAAACUAUGCCGACUAGGGAUCGGAUGAUGUUAAUUUUUUAAUGACUCAUUCGGCGCCUUACGGGAAAC